GAUGAACGCUGGCGGCGUGCUUAACACAUGCAAGUCGAACGGACUUUUGAUGAAACCUAGUGAUUCAAAAGUUAGUGGCGGACGGGUGAGUAACGCGUGGGUAACCUGCCUCGUACAGGGGGAUAACACUUAGAAAUAGGUGCUAAUACCGCAUAAGCGCACAGCUUCGCAUGAAGCAGUGUGAAAAACUCCGGUGGUACGAGAUGGACCCGCGUCUGAUUAGCUAGUUGGUGAGGUAACGGCCCACCAAGGCGACGAUCAGUAGCCGGCCUGAGAGGGUGAACGGCCACAUUGGGACUGAGACACGGCCCAAACUCCUACGGGAGGCAGCAGUGGGGAAUAUUGCACAAUGGGGGAAACCCUGAUGCAGCGACGCCGCGUGAGUGAAGAAGUAUUUCGGUAUGUAAAGCUCUAUCAGCAGGAAAGAAAAUGACGGUACCUGACUAAGAAGCCCCGGCUAACUACGUGCCAGCAG
rnacentral:rRNA from 1 species